UUUUUAAAAAAGGAAUGAAUUUUAAAAGUCCAGAUUCUUGUUUAGGCAUAUAUGAUAUAUCAAGUACAUUGUUACAAAUACCUUUACUGUCAAAUUUUCAAAUAGAAAUUCCAAGUUCAGCAGCAAACAUGCAAUAUUUAACCUGAAGGUGACAUGUCAUAUGAAGAUGAAUUAUAUCUGUAAUUAGCAUCAACGAACUUCAACAGCUGUAAGACCGUGGUACAGAGAAA
rnacentral:misc_RNA from 1 species